UCCGGUUUAUCACCGGCAGUCUCAUUAAAGUGCCCAACUGAAUGAUGGCAAUUAAUGACAAGGGUUGCGCUCGUUGCGGGACUUAACCCAACAUCUCACGACACGAGCUGACGACAGCCAUGCAGCACCUGUGUUCAGGUUCCCUUUCGGGCACAAUCUCAUCUCUGAAAUCUUCCUGACAUGUCAAGGGUAGGUAAGGUUUUUCGCGUUGCAUCGAAUUAAUCCACAUAAUCCACCGCUUGUGCGGGUCCCCGUCAAUUCCUUUGAGUUUUAAUCUUGCGACCGUACUCCCCAGGCGGUCAACUUAUCGCGUUAGCUGCGGUACUAAAGAAGUCUCCUUCCCCAACACCUAGUUGACAUCGUUUAGGGCGUGGACUAC
rnacentral:misc_RNA from 1 species